AAUAAGUGUAGUUUUGCACUAUUCACGUUCAACGUUUGACCGUUCGUCUUAUUUGAAAUUUUUUUAUGAUUAGUAUUUUUAUUACUAUUAGAUGAUAAAACAUGAAUAGUACUUUAUGUGUGACUAAAUAUUUUCAAAUUUUUCACAAAUUUUUCAAAUAUAAGACGGACGGUCAAACGUUGGGCACAGAUAUCCACGGCUGCACUUAUU
rfam:Oryza glumipatula chromosome 3, whole genome shotgun sequence.